rnacentral:rRNA from 1 species
AUUGAACGCUGGCGGCAUGCCUUACACAUGCAAGUCGAACGGCAGCACAGGGCAACCUGGUGGCGAGUGGCGAACGGGUGAGUAAUGCAUCGGAACGUACCUUUCAGUGGGGGAUAACGUAGCGAAAGUUACGCUAAUACCGCAUAUUCUGUGAGCAGGAAAGCAGGGGAUCGCAAGACCUUGCGCUGAUUGAGCGGCCGAUGUCAGAUUAGCUAGUUGGUGAGGUAAAGGCUCACCAAGGCGACGAUCUGUAGCGGGUCUGAGAGGAUGAUCCGCCACACUGGAACGGAGACACGGUCCAGACUCCUACGGGAGGCAGCAGUGGGGAAUUGUGGACAAUGGGGGCAACCCUGACCCAGCCAUGCCGCGUGAGUGAAGAAGGCCUUCGGGUUGUAAAGCUCUUUCGGCCGGGAAGAAAUCGCACGGGCUAAUACCCUGUGUGGAUGACGGUACCGGAAUAAGAAGCACCGGCUAACUACGUGCCAGCCGCCGCGGUAACAC